AUUGAACGCUGGCGGCAGGCUUAACACAUGCAAGUCGAACGGUAGCAGGAGGAAGCUUGCUUUCUUGCUGACGAGUGGCGGACGGGUGAGUAAUGCUUGGGAAUCUGGCUUAUGGAGGGGGAUAACUACGGGAAACUGUAGCUAAUACCGCGUAGUAUCGGAAGAUGAAAGUGCGGGACCGUAAGGCCGCAUGCCAUGAGAUGAGCCCAAGUGGGAUUAGGUAGUUGGUGGGGUAAAGGCCUACCAAGCCUGCGAUCUCUAGCUGGUCUGAGAGGAUGGCCAGCCACACUGGAACUGAGACACGGUCCAGACUCCUACGGGAGGCAGCAGUGGGGAAUAUUGCGCAAUGGGGGAAACCCUGACGCAGCCAUGCCGCGUGAAUGAAGAAGGCCUUCGGGUUGUAAAGUUCUUUCGGUAUUGAGGAAGGUUGAUGUGUUAAUAGUACAUCAAAUUGACGUUAAAUACAGAAGAAGCACCGGCUAACUCCGUGCCAGCAGCCGCGGUAAUACGGAGGGCGCGAGCGUUAAUCGGAAUAACUGGGCGUAAAGGGCACGCAGGCGGUUAUUUAAGUGAGGUGUGAAAGCCCCGGGCUUAACCUGGGAAUUGCAUUUCAGACUGGGUAACUAGAGUACUUUAGGGAGGGGUAGAAUUCCACGUGUAGCGGUGAAAUGCGUAGAGAUGUGGAGGAAUACCGAAGGCGAAGGCAGCCCCUUGGGAAUGUACUGACGCUCAUGUGCGAAAGCGUGGGGAGCAAACAGG
rnacentral:rRNA from 1 species